rnacentral:lncRNA from 1 species
GAUUGCUUGUCAUGUAAAGCUCACGUUUGAUUUGAAUUGUUUGGUUUUUAACCAUCAGCUCCUUUGCUCCCAUGAGCGGCAGUUUCCCAGUAUAGGAAUGUAGCAUUUUGUCUGUUGGCUCCAAUUGUGGCCACAAGGAUGCCCAAUGCCUUUAUGCCUCCGUGGCAAUCACACACACGAGAAAUCCUGUGCCGACUUAGCUCCACGCCACCCCAGUUGAGUGUAGUAGUGUACGUGGGGCUCAAUGCCUCUCCCACUGUGGAAAGGUAAAAACUCUUUGGUUCAUCUCCAAACACUAUGUUGGACUGAAACUUGUCCUUUUGAGCCUUGCUCCCGAAACGCUGACUUGCUAGAUGGCUGUGCUUGUUGUACUUUAAACACAUUGUGUUCUGGUGUGGGCAUUCUGGUGGUCACCACAACAAAUACACGGCAGCUUCUUUUCCAGUGGCCAGCUGGCUUUAUAAUUAUUGUGACACUUCUACUGCAAAACAUUUGUGCGGGCUGAUGCCAUUGCAGCUGGCAUGUCGCCUGUCCUCAGCAUACAACUGGCAUUGUAAUGACCAAUUUCACAUUGUGGGCUGUGUCAAGCACAUCCUCCAGUGUGAAACUCCGUGACUUGAAGAGCAGCAGCCAUUGCACUCCUUCCUCAUGCAUUCCAAUGAUGAAACGGUUGCAAAGGUUUCUUUCCAGUGUGUCACUGAACCCACAGUGGUCGGCGAUUUUGCGCAGUUACACCAGGUAGUUGGUAACUCCUCCGCUGUUUUGCACCCGGGUCUUGAACUUGGAAGGUUUUGCAGAUCUCCAAUGCCUUGGGACUGAGUUGCUGCAUCAAGACUCGGACAAUUGUGUUGUACGUUUCAUCCUUCGGCUUCCUUGGUGCAAGCAUUCUUUGCAGACGAGCAUAGGUCUUGGGGUUCAGUGAUGAACUUGGAAUGGACGCAUUUUUGGAGUUGCAUGUUACAUUGUUUGUUUCAAGGAUCGCUUCCAGCUGUUCAGCGUAGUUGACUCCUGAUUCUGAUGCCGAAUCAAUGUGCAAUGGUGCUGCAAUCAACAGCUGUGCCAUGGCGGCAGUCGUGUGAUUGAGUGCUGGCGGGACAGAUUUCCCCACCUUGUUGCUUCUUGCUGCGGUUCAACCUGGCAGUGCUUGUUGCCUUUCCAUACUGAUCUAGACCUGUCCCAUCCUCAUCACCAGAUUUGUUAUGUUUGUAACAAGUAUUUAUUCACAGUAUGGUAGUGGUGCCGCAUGCAUGGUGGAUGCAAAGGAGAGAAUACAUGGUAAGCACAAAGUCCCACACUCAGGGUUGCUAGAUGAGGCACACAGUUCACAUUACUAUUGGUACUACAAUUUCAAUAGCAAUUAUACGGAUGCUCAAGGUAUAAAAAUGCCGUCAGCACUGCUGUCGCCACUAGGGUUGUUGUGCUGUCCUGCUCACCAGUGCAUGUGCAGCUCAUGUGUGGAAGGUUAGGGGGCCUCCAGAGACACAGAAUGUGUUUGGCUGCAAUAAAGACCAAGUGAGGUGGACGCACCAUCAAUGCUAAGCUCAAUUGCCUCAAUACCAAUACAAUUGCCUCCAAGUACCAUUUUUAUCACACCACACAGACACAUGAGGACACAACUGAACAGAAAUUUUAAUGUACCGCCUGUUAGCAACUGGUACAGUAGGUGCAGGAACAUUGGAACCUACAUUGGAACGAAAAUAUGGAAUAAUCUUCCAAAGAGGACAAAAGAGAGUCCAAGGUUUUCGUAUGAUCUUAAGCAAUUGGUGAUCAAUAUGUUUCUGUAUUGUAAUAGUAACAGAUUUUGCUAUUGUUGGUUUUUCUCUUACGCUAUAACAAAUUUAUUGAUAUCAUGUUAACAACGUUAGCAGAAUCUGUACUUGCAAAUCACAUUACCUGUUAACCUGAGUUGCAAUGGUGUUUUGUAUUCAUUUGCAUGGACCCAGAACUAGCAGUAUUGCUAAGGGCCCAGGUGAUUUACACUAACGUUUGUAAUCAUAAAGAAAUAUAAACUGAACUGAAAAAAAAAAAAUGGUAGUGCCAGGGCAACAUUCUGGGCCUUCUGCUGCUGGCAUGAGCAUUGUGUACACACCAAAAUUAGACUAGUGUUCUUGCUGAGCUGCUGUCUGUAAUCAUUGCUCUGAGCAGAACGGGCGGCAACCGCCAAGCUAAUGGUAUGUAAUAUUGCACUCGGUACUCACUAAUGUCGACGGUUUCCCAUCGGUCUCACCUUGUGCAGCAUCGAGGUGCGAUGCCUGCAACGCCACGGGCGACGCUCUUUAUCACACCAACGUUGUGAGACACCUGGUAGCAGCCAGGGUACUCUGUCUUGUCCCCAACAGGAGUUGCCUUGCUUGCUGUGUUGCGCCCGAAUAUAAUUAGAUUACUGUCUAAGGAGCCUAGGUGCAAUGCUAUACCCUUUUGUCGCUGUCGAUGCUUCGCCCUCUGAGUGAAACUGCCAAUUUUUUUGUUAAUGUUAUGUGUAGAAGUCUCUAUUGCAGCGAUAUCAGCAGAUUAUUUUCAGUUGCUUCAAUUAAAGGAUGAAUGAUAGGAAAUUUAUGCAUUUUUCAAGCAUAAAUGCAAAAAAGAGCAUGCAUGAAAAAUGUUUGCGUUUUAUAUUAUUCAUCUUUCUGUCGAAGUGGCUAACUGAAAAUAACCUGCUCAUAUCACUGCAAUACUGACUUCUACUGUCCGACAUGAACCAAAAAGAGAAAAGAAGAAAGCGUCAACAAAGUGUUGAUGCUAAGAAGACAAGGUCAAUGUGCAUAGCUGUUAAAAUGAUUCAGUGAUUAAAUGUUGAUUAUAUGUCACUAUUCUGUCUCUUUUUCAUGUUUAUUAUUCACUUAUUUCAUAUCUUAAUCAUAUCAUGUUUCACGAGCAAUUAUGUCGACCUUGAUCAGGUCUACGUAGCUGCCCUGCAACGUAGGAGAUGCUCUUUGUAUUCUUCAGAAGUGUCGUCAGCCACGUGUCUGUGUUGAACGACUCUGUUCCGCUCCAGGGCCUCCAAACAUUGCUCGAUGCCCUGCCGCUCCUAGUGGCCACGCUACAAAUCGCGCAUUUAGGUGAGACGGGCCUUGCAAGCUUUGGCCGUCUUCUUGGCUUGGCUGGUGCAUGCUUUGGUGAAAUGAGCCUCACGCGCGUCAGCAUUUUCAUUGGCCUAUUGAGCAUUGACAGCUUUUCAGCAUCAACAGCUCUCUUGUGACACGGCAACUAUACAAACCCCUCACACACUGAGUUACCACACCAUGCUAGGUCUGCGUCAAGGCCAGCAAGCUGCUUUCGCGUCCGCAUGUGCUCAAAGACGGCGGCACACAUGCACACUCAGGUGUGCUUCUCCAACCCAGCUGUCCUCCAUCCUGAACUUUAGGGCACAUGCCUCGAUGCACGCGCCCUCCCUUUCGCUGCAGCAUGCACUGAUUGAGGCACCUUAUCAAACUCUGGCAUAAGGUGCAGCAGUUAGAUGGCACGUAGCGCUGGCAUGACAGAGGGUGACAUGCACACUCGCAACCCACGCUGUUUAAAGCUCAUUUCUGAUUGUAUCCUUAGUUGACUAUUGCUGCAUGUUCUCGGCAUGAAGAGGUAUCAAAUUAAUAUAAUUUUCAUGUUCAUAUGAUGUCAACAAGUCACCCAACCAACCAAUUUUUCAAAAAGUGGUUACGAGAUACCCAGAUACGCCAAAUCCAUCUGGAGUCAGCUAAGAAGAGCUUGUCUUCAACAAACUGUGCAAGUACGGUUUGAUAAAGUGAGGGUUGCCCACUGUAUGUUUAGUUGUAAGCCUUGCUCUUUUCCUCCUGUGUUUACGCUAUUUUAUCCUUGACAAUGGUACACCAACUGGCCUGCACUUGUACACAGUGCCCUGCACAUUUAUUUGUUUUUUCACUUUCAGUGGUGGACUUGUUUUGAGGUUGGCACCUGAGAGGGACAGGACGGGUGGGAUGCAUUCUAGCAGCAAUAACCACUUCUUGGAAGAUGGUGAAGGGUGUGCAUCUGUGUAUGCUUGUGAUCAUAAGAAAUUGCCCAACCUCUGAGCUGUUGCACCUGUUAUAACGUCAUCGCUGACAUCGCAUAAGGCUGGAAAAAAAGCAGGUAUAUUGAAAACUGUAGGAGAUACCAAGCAAUCUAACGUGCAAAUUGUAAGCUCCUUGCUGCAUGCAGCAGUGUAUUGUCUAUAGAUCAAGGAUGGUUUGUUACCAUGUUGUAAGACAUGUUUAAUUUCAGUGCCCCUUCUAUUGAAUGCUCUUGAGAAAUUCUUGCAUGUUCACACAACAGAGCUUGCACACAGGUCAAGUUUGUCACCCAGGCUGUCUUCUAAACAACCAGAGCAGAAGCAUUGUGGGAGGCUGUAGUGGCACAAGCUCUGUUAUGUGAGAUGUCUACUGAGGUUCUGAGAAUUGUCAAGACCUCUGUUUCAUUUUAUAAUCUGCGGUUGCAGCCAGGAUUACAUUUGUGCUGCCAUUUCUAAGCUAUGAGCCUGUACUCCACAUCAUUCUAGGGUAGUUCUCCAUGCCCUUUUGCUUCAUGUGAUCACUGCAUUUUCAUCUGUUGUGCAGAUUAGUCUUUUAAUUUCAGCAUAUCAAUUCACAUUUGUUGUGUAAUCUUAACUCUUUCAAAAUGUGGUGCCUAUUUACCUCUCGUUGCACUGACCUGUUUUGUGUGAAGUUCUUUUGUUGUCAUGGGGGCCCCAUAAUUCAGCACACAUAGUAUACCUUGUAACAACAUAUCUGCCAAGUAUUCUUUUGGUAAAUUGCAGAGGGGGGAAAAUGCUUGGGUACCACUGUGAUUUGCUCUACAUGUCGGCUGAUGGCAGCCAAGAAAGCUGUAUUUACACACCAGUGCAAAAGGUGCACGGACGGCAAAAGAAGCAGACUGGGUACAGAGCUGCAUCCUGUCUUGUUCUUUCACUGUCUGUGUGCCUUUUGCAUUACUGUUUAAAUAAUGCCAUGCCAACUAGCCCACUAGCCUGUCCUUUUGACAAAAGCUUUGUUUCUGAAAAUUCACCAUGUGUUCAUGGACAUUUUUAUCAUAUUUCACUGAAAUUGGCACUCCAAUUUUUGCACACCCAUAGUGCUUUAGAAGUUUGGUGUGUUUUAUGUAUGUAGGCAGUCGGUUAUAACCUAAUGCAGUUUUGCUUGGGCCCCACUGGUGCCACUUCUCUGGGUUGAGAAACAACUGGCAUGACGUUGUGUGGCAAAGGAAUAUGUAUUCCCAUCCUUGCAUGCAAAGGCCACCACUCAAAUGAAGCUAGCUGUAGUAGCUGAACCAAAUCAACAUCGUGGUGUCACUGUGAUCGUAGUGGUGCCCCUACAGCCUCAUGACUUAAAGAUCUUUAGUAUUACCAUGAACGCUGCUACCAAAUCAGUUGUGACACUGGCCAAAUGCAAAUGUAGGUGGCCGCUUUGGCACCACAUUGACAACUGUGGAGAUCAUGCUUAAUACUGCAUUUCUCUGCGUGAUCUCUCCGUAAAUAGCUGCGGUGGCAUUGGGCCACUCUUGGCAUCCUGCAGUGCAAGGUGGCUGAGCUCUUUCCAUGCUAGUGAUGCAUCAAAUUUGGCAGCAGUUUCAUGAUGAACAUUCUGGUGACAUCCUCUCUACCUGCUUCAUUACUUGUGGCAAUUGUAAUUAUCUUUAGGGACUGUAGUUCUGGCCCCAUUUUAGUUUAAAUUAAGAAGGCAUUUGUUUUCCUUAGAAAAUCCAGCACUUACUGGCACCUCUUCUCUUACAGUGCCUUUUCAGCAUUGGGCACUUGGCUUUGAAAAACUGCAUAUUGGCAAGGAAACCGUAGAACAAGAAAGCUUUAUUCUCAUAAAUACACUGAGGCAAAUUAAUUACAGUUGAAUUGAAAUGUUUGCUGAGUAUUCAAAUUAAUUAAAUACAAAAUAAAUGAAUUCUUUUUUUAUAUAAUCCCCAGCAUCCCUUCCUCAUAGAGAGUGUUUCGGUACCUGCCAGACUUCGAGGCUCUAGAGAGAGCCUCCGAGAAGUGAACCACUUCACUCAGUAAUGUCCUCCUUUUGCUCCUCUCAUAAUUGGUACACACCUGUCAUGCGCAUCUCACAUGGGAUGAUGUGUACAUUUCAGACAAAUCUGUACAUGCCAGGUAUAUCGGCGUAUGCAGUUGGGGUGUGCAAGCUCAGUGGAGCAAAAACUGCACCUCUUGUGCCAUAUUGUGCCAGUUGUUUGCAUCAUCCUGCUCAAAAACUGCAUUUUAGCAGAAAAUUGCGCCAUGCCUGUGGCAAAUAAAGCACAAGAGUGGAAGCCUCCUAUGCUGCCUCAGUAGUAAAACUGAAUCCAAAAUCUCCCAAUGGGUCACAGAUAUCCGAGGAACUUUCAUGGGAGAUCCAACUCCGGACAUUAUGACGUCCAGUGGACAUUCCUACAAAUCCGGAUGACAUACUACGAAUGUCUAUGACACCGUCCUGCGCAAAAAAAAAAAAAGAAGCGUUUGACUGGAUGUCCUGCAGACGUCGCUCGCGUACAUUAGUAUGUUCAUAGGAGGUUAAAAUUUGUACUUUUUUCCUUUAAAACGUCCAGGGUACGUUCAUCAGAUGCAGCACUUGGAUAUCUGAUGUUCAUGGGACAUUAUAUGGCUGUUGUGUUGUAGGAUAGUUUUAGGCGGUGGCUUCUGAAUCUAUUCUUUACUGUGCAUGUUGCUGUGCAGCGGACAUUAAUUCUUAUCAGAAUGCAGCUUUCCACCAUAAUGCAGUGGAAUGUUCGCAGCGGACAUUCCUAGCAUGCAUGGUAUACACUGAAUGCUACGCAUUAACUCUAUAUCACAAAUGUAUGCUAUGCAUAGCAUGCAAUGUGUUCCGCGUGCAAGGAAGAGCAUAUACAUUGUGUUCAAACAAACACACGUGCGGGGCCGCAUGCAAAUGCAUUAUGCAGUUUCCUUCAAGACCUUCUGCCUGUCAUAUGUGGGAUAUUCAACUAAUAAAGCUUUAGUCAAUACUAUGAAAAAGUA